rnacentral:sRNA from 1 species
UUCACAAUGGAGCUGAUGGAUUAUCAUU